CCCUUGCUUGCUUUUAUAUGCAGAUGGGUGCAAUGCGGAUAAUUGGUUUUGAUUACAAUUCAACAAGGAUAAUUGAUGUCGGUGAUCCACGAUAACUGUUGCCAAGCGUAGUAUGAUUAGGUAGGAUUAUCCCUGAUCGGAAGUCCCGUCUCCCGGAUAAUAUAAAAGUUAGAUGCAGCGAUAGGUGACUCGCAACCUAACAAUGCUGCUAGCCAACAUGUUGAAAGGGAGAAUGAAGAGAGCAGCUGGUUGGAUGAGCGUGCAGCUGAGGUGGACUGGCCGCAAAUCGCUGGAACCUCGGACCUCAAUGAAUUAAACCGUGUGCUUACACAACUUUCGAAAGGGUCCUCAGAAGAAGGUUUACGAAACCAGAACAUUUCUGCAGAAGAUCAAGUUAUCGAAGAUGUCUGUAUGCAAAGCCUUCAUAAUGGACACCCUGGCGAGAGUGCGGCUGCUAUAGCACAAAACGGUGAAGUAGAACAAUAAACCCAUAAAAAUAUUUCUAAUUGUUGCGAUCUUGGGCCAGUGAUAAAUCCUAAAUUAUUACUGAAUAAAUAAUUAAAAAUAAUCAAUUUUAUGUAAAUAAUUAAUUGUAUCGUUGUUUCACGUCUGAACACAGCAUUGGUGCAGCAGUUCGUUGAAAAUUACAUGCCUGAAAAUUAUGCUACUAGUAAGUUCUUGGACCUUUGUUUAAUGUGAACAAUUUUUCUGCUUCUCAUUAUCAGGCGCUGUUUUUUGUUAGGUGGCAACGCGGUUUCUUAUGAUCUUGGUGCUUUGUCGACUGUUACGGUUCUUGGACAAGGACGUGCUCAAAACAACUGGGUCGAUGAAGCGAUUGCUGUGUCGCUGCUGCAACCCGCAUCGCUGGCAUGGGUUCGUACGAACCAGACCCUGAUCGUGCAUGACAUGAUACCUGAGGUUUUGCGAGGCGUACCGUGGGAUGUAAAGGCCAAGAAACUGCUCAUGUAUUUCGGCGGUAAUACAAACUGGGACGGAUGGUUUAGCCACGCCAUGUUAAUUUUCUUCACGAAACCUAGUGUCUUGGAAAUCAGCCGAGAAGAACUCCAAGUGUUGCUGAAGUAUUUGUUUGCUGGUGGAUGGUACACGGAUGUUGCGACCGCAGUGAAUGCAACAAAAGGAAAAGAUGUACCAACAGCGCCGUACCGACGUUUCAGUGGAACGCUCUUUGCUUGGUACCGCAAAUUUGCUACGAAAACCAAAUUGCGAAAGAAACCGCCGACCUCUUACCUUACGCUGACGCGAAUUUCUCAUUUUGGUUGUUAUGAAGGUUGUGUCAAUAUUAACCUUGCUGCAGUAGAGUCUA